UACGUAGGGUGCGAGCGUUGUCCGGGAAUUAUUGGGCGUAAAGGGCUCGUAGGCGGUCUGUUACGUCGGGAGUGAAAACUCGGGGCUCAACCCCGAGCCUGCUUCCGAUACGGGCAGACUAGAGGUAUGCAGGGGAGAAUGGAAUUCCUGGUGUAGCGGUGAAAUGCGCAGAUAUCAGGAGGAACACCGGUGGCGAAGGCGGUUCUCUGGGCAUUACCUGACGCUGAGGAGCGAAAGUGUGGGGAGCGAACAGG
rnacentral:rRNA from 1 species